rnacentral:rRNA from 1 species
UACGUAGGGUGCAAGCGUUGUCCGGAAUUAUUGGGCGUAAAGAGCUCGUAGGCGGUCUGUCGCGUCUGCUGUGAAAAUCCAGGGCUCAACCCUGGACCUGCAGUGGGUACGGGCAGACUAGAGUGCGGUAGGGGAGAUCGGAAUUCCUGGUGUAGCGGUGAAAUGCGCGGAUAUCAGGAGGAACACCGGUGGCGAAGGCGGAUCUCUGGGCCGUAACUGACGCUGAGGAGCGAAAGCAUGGGGAGCGAACAGG